rnacentral:rRNA from 1 species
CUACGGGCGCUCCAGUGAGGAAUAUUGCACAAUGGGGGGAACCCUGAUGCAGCAACGCCGCGUGGAGGAUGACGCAUUUCGGUGUGUAAACUCCUUUUAUGUGUCAAGAAAAUGACGGUAGCAUAUGAAUAAGCACCGGCUAACUCCGUGCCAGCAGCCGCGGUAAUACGGAGGGUGCAAGCGUUACUCGGAAUCACUGGGCGUAAGGGACGCGUAGGCGGGUUGGAAAGUCAGGUGUGAAAUCCUACAGCUUAACUGUAGAACUGCACUUGAAACUUCUAAUCUAGAGUAUGGGAGGGGGAGAUGGAAUUAGUGGUGUAGGGGUAAAAUCCGUAGAUAUCACUAGGAAUACCUAAAGCGAAGGCGAUCUCCUGGAACAUUACUGACGCUAAGGCGUGAAAGCGUGGGGAGCAAACAGGAUUAGAUACCCCAGUAGUC